GGUUAUAUAUUUUAAAUUUAAAAUAUUAAAUUGCAAAUUUAAAGAUACAUAUAGUUGUUAUAGCUU
rnacentral:tRNA from 1 species